GACGAACGCUGGCGGCGUGCUUAACACAUGCAAGUCGAACGGAAAGGCCCUGCUUUUGUGGGGUGCUCGAGUGGCGAACGGGUGAGUAACACGUGAGUAACCGGCCCUUGACUUUGGGAUAACUUCAGGAAACUGGGGCUAAUACCGGAUAGGAGCUCCUGCUGCAUGGUGGGGGUUGGAAAGUUUCGGCGGUUGGGGAUGGACUCGCGGCUUAUCAGCUUGUUGGUGGGGUAGUGGCUUACCAAGGCUUUGACGGGUAGCCGGCCUGGGAGGGUGACCGGCUACAUGGGGCUUGAGGAGCGGGCAGGGGGGAUACGGGAGGCAGGGGUGGGGACCGGGGCGCAAGGGGCGGAAGGGUGAUGCAGGGGCGCCGGGGGGGGGAGGCCGGCCGUUGGGUGGGAAACAGCUUUCGCGUGAGACGACGCGUGAGGGACGGAAAUGGGCAAAGAAGCACCGGUUACUUACGG
rnacentral:rRNA from 1 species